rnacentral:misc_RNA from 1 species
AUCGCGCAGCGGACUUGUUUGGAGCUUUCAGCGCUCAUGGCCGGCCUCCGGACGUGACGCUGCCGACGGUGACAGGCUCCGGCCCCCUGUCGCGGCGCGGUUUAGCCGCAGCUUUGCUGGAGACGCUCGCGGUUUUUCGCAGUUCAGGCUUUCGCAAACCAAAGAACUUUGGGCCGUUCCAUCGCGUCCCCGUGAUGGCGCGGGCGACUUCCGAGAGGCUCUGGUAGGUUUGCUCGUUGUAGUAGAAGCCUUUGCUUAAAACCGUGACCCUAUGGGUCGUGCCUUUCCACUCCCGCACGACGAUGGCGCCGGCCUUGAUGCGCCUCCGGAACUCCGGCUGAUCGCCAGUCUUAUUGCUGUGUAGUUUAAUGAUCUGGCUGAGUUCGCGC